UACGGGGGGGUAAGCGUUGUUCGGAAUUCUGGGCGUAAGGGCUCGUAGGCGGCCAACUAAGUCAGACGUGAAAUCCCUCAGCUUAACUGGGAACUGCGUCUGAUACUGGAUGGCUUGGAUUCGGGAGAGGAAUGGCGGAAUUCCAGGUGUAGCGGUGAAAUGCGUAGAUAUCUGGAGGAACACCGGUGGCGAAGGCGGCAUUCUGGACCGACAUUGACGCUGAGGAGCGAAAGCCAGGGGAGCAACGGG
rnacentral:rRNA from 1 species